GUGCCAGCAGCCGCGGUAAUACGUAGGUGGCAAGCGUUAUCCGGAAUUAGUGGGCGUAAAGCGCGCGUAGGCGGUUUUUUAAGUCUGAUGUGAAAGCCCACGGCUCAACCGUGGAGGGUCAUUGGAAACUGGAAAACUUGAGUGCAGAAGAGGAAAGUGGAAUUCCAUGUGUAGCGGUGAAAUGCGCAGAGAUAUGGAGGAACACCAGUGGCGAAGGCGACUUUCUGGUCUGUAACUGACGCUGAUGUGCGAAAGCGUGGGGAUCAAACAGGAUUAGA
rnacentral:rRNA from 1 species